CUGCACCCGUUCCCUUUCCGAACACGGCCGUGAAACGCCCCUGCGCCCAUGGUACUUCGUCUUAAGACGCGGGAGAGUAGGUCGCUGCCAGGU
rnacentral:rRNA from 1 species